rnacentral:rRNA from 1 species
GAUGAACGCUGGCGGUGUGCCUAAUACAUGCAAGUCGAGCGAACAGACGAGGAGCUUACUCCUCUGACGUUAGCGGCGGACGGGUGAGUAACACGUGGAUAACCUACCUAUAAGACUGGGAUAACUUCGGGAAACCGUAGCUAAUACCGGAUAACAUGUUGAACCGCAUGGUUCAACAGUGAAAGACGGUCUUGCUGUCACUUAUAGAUGGAUCCGCGUCGCAUUAGCUAGUUGGUAAGGUAACGGCUUACCAAGGCAACGAUGCGUAGCCGACCUGAGAGGGUGAUCGGCCACACUGGAACUGAGACACGGUCCAGACUCCUACGGGAGGCAGCAGUAGGGAAUCUUCCGCAAUGGGCGAAAGCCUGACGGAGCAACGCCGCGUGAGUGAAGAAGGUCUUCGGAUCGUAAAACUCUGUUAUUAGGGAAGAACAAAUGUGUAAGUAACUAUGCACGUCUUGACGGUACCUAAUCAGAAAGCCACGGCUAACUACGUG